GCCCCGCCGGCCCCGGCCCCUCAGCGCCCCGCUGGACCCCGCCGCCCGCUCCCUCCCUCCCCUCCCGCCGCACCUGGGAGCGGCGCUACCGGGGCCGCCGCGCCGCCGUCGCCUCCGCCAUGCCUCCCCGCGGCGGCGGGGAGGGGACAGCCCGUCCCAGGCGCGGGAUGCUCCGCCGGGGGCGGCGGGGGCCCGGCUGCGGCCCGGCUCACGGCAGGCGUAGCCUUAAAGGGGCCGAGCCGCCGCCGCCGCCGGGCUCGGCUCGCCACCUCUGAGGGGAAGGCGGCUGCCCCCGGUCCCUCCUUCCCUCCUUCCCUCCCGCCCCGCUCUCCGCAGCCGCUCCCCCGGCGCCUCGGAGCCGGGGCUGGGGCUGCGUCGCGGCCCCCCCGCCGGGCGAGGAGGAGGAGGCGGCCGGCCACGGUGCCGCCGGCCAGCCCGGCACCGAGCCUGCCCGCCGCCUCUCUGGGAGCAGCGUGUGUGCCCCGGGCGGGCUCGCAGGUCCCCGCGUCCUGCCCACUGCAGGGGGCUGAGACCGGCUUCGGUGUUGGGGGGAGGUACCGCGGGGAAAAUGCUGGUGCCACCGAUCGCGCCCCAGGAACCCGUUUAUGCAUCCUCGAUAGCGUUGUGCAGGAUGAUAGGUGAUGCACCAUCCUAUGGAGAAAAGGAUUCCUGAUCUUUCAGAUAAAUAAUUUAAAAAUUGUCCUCUCAGACAACAUAAUAUCGAAGGUAUUCGUAUGCGUCUCGCAGCAUAUUGAGCUGCGGCCGACAGAGAAAUCAUCUACCCUGCUUGGGUGCACUAAUCUCUCUUGCAAGACAUCUCCCACGGCAGGAAUGCUGAGGCUUAAGCCUGAACAGAGACCGAUGUUGGCUUUCCUUAAUACGCAGAUCUGCGAAACGCAGAAGCUGAGGUACUGAUUAAUGAGGCGCUGAGCCAUCCCUGCUGAGGAAACCGUAACCUGUAUGAGGGGGACAGGGCGCACCCCCGGCAUCUGUAACUGUUUCAAGCCAUCUCCGCUUAAUCCAUUGCUAAACAUAAAUCAACUGGUGGAUAAAGCAUUUGUGUAAACAUCAGAACUACUUAAAGUUUGACUUCCCAUGGGCUUGCGGCUUAUGGUUGACCAGCUUUUAAAUGGAAUUUUGUUAACAAAAUCCCACAAGAUGUUCUUGGCUGAGUGAAGGAGGAGAUCCCAUUCCUACUUCCAAUCUUCUUCCAUUCCAGAAACAGACGGACAAAUAAAGACAGCAACAUCGUAUCAACACAAUCUCUUAGUGAAAUGGGGAUAAAAACCUCUUCUUUUACUCUCACGUCCUAUAAUUUUAUUCGUCAUAUAAAGGAAGAUUUCAACCUAUUUUCUAUUAUGUCUACAGUUCUUAGUGAAACAGAACAGCUGCUAA